UGGGGAAUAUUGCACAAUGGGCGCAAGCCUGAUGCAGCCAUGCCGCGUGUAUGAAGAAGGCCUUCGGGUUGUAAAGUACUUUCAGCGGGGAGGAAGGCGAUAAGGUUAAUAACCUUGUCGAUUGACGUUACCCGCAGAAGAAGCACCGGCUAACUCCGUGCCAGCAGCCGCGGUAAUACGGAGGGUGCAAGCGUUAAUCGGAAUUACUGGGCGUAAAGCGCACGCAGGCGGGCUGUAAAGUCGGAUGGGAAAUCCCCGGGCUCAACCUGGGAACUGCAUUCGAAACUGGCAGGCUAGAGUCUUGUAGAGGGGGGUAGAAUUCCAGGUGUAGCGGUGAAAUGCGUAGAGAUCUGGAGGAAUACCGGUGGCGAAGGCGGCCCCCUGGACAAAGACUGACGCUCAGGUGCGAAAGCGUGGGGAGCAAACA
rnacentral:rRNA from 1 species